UACGGGGGGAGCAAGCGUUGUUCGGAUUUACUGGGCGUAAAGCGUGCGCAGGCGGUCUUUUAAGUCAGAUGUGAAAUCCCCGGGCUUAACCUGGGAACUGCGUUUGAAACUGGAAGGCUAGAGUGUGGCAGAGGGGGGUGGAAUUCCACGUGUAGCAGUGAAAUGCGUAGAUAUGUGGAGGAACACCGAUGGCGAAGGCAGCCCCCUGGGCUAACACUGACGCUCAUGCACGAAAGCGUGGGGAGCAAACAGG
rnacentral:rRNA from 1 species